GACGAACGCUGGCGGCGUGCUUAACACAUGCAAGUCGAGCGGAGCGGCGAACGGGUGAGUAACGAGUGAGUAACUACCCCCCUCUCUGGGAAACAGUUGGAAACGGCUGCUAAUACCGGAUAGUUGGGGAUGACCAGCGUCCUAUAAGCUUGUUGGUGGGGUAGUGGCCUACCAAGGCGACGACGGGUAGCCGGCCUGAGGGGGCGACCGGCCAAAUUGGGCUGAGAUACGGCCCAAAAUCCUACGGGAGGCAGCAGUGGGGAAUAUUGCACAAUGGGGGAAACCCUGAUGCAGCAACGCGCGUGCGGGAUGACGGCCUUCGGGUUGUAAACCGCUUUCAGCCAUGACGCGGUAGUGGCAGAGGAGGCACCGGCUAACGACGUGCCAGCAGCCGCGGGAAUAC
rnacentral:rRNA from 1 species